rnacentral:tRNA from 1 species
GUCAGGAUCGCCGAGUGGUCUAAGGCGCCAGACUCAAGUUCUGGUCUCCUAAGGGAGGCGUGGGUUCAAAUCCCACUUCUGACA